AGUGAACGCUUUCUUUAGGCCUAACACAUGCAAGUCGAACGGCAGCACAGUAAGAGCUUGCUCUUACGGGUGGCGAGUGGCGGACGGGUGAGGAAUACAUCGGAAUCUACUUUUUCGUGGGGGAUAACGUAGGGAAACUUACGCUAAUACCGCAUACGACCUACGGGUGAAAGCAGGGGAUCUUCGGACCUUGCGCGAUUGAAUGAGCCGAUGUCGGAUUAGCUAGUUGGCGGGGUAAAGGCCCACCAAGGCGACGAUCCGUAGCUGGUCUGAGAGGAUGAUCAGCCACACUGGAACUGAGACACGGUCCAGACUCCUACGGGAGGCAGCAGUGGGGAAUAUUGGACAAUGGGCGCAAGCCUGAUCCAGCCAUACCGCGUGGGUGAAGAAGGCCUUCGGGUUGUAAAGCCCUUUUGUUGGGAAAGAAAAGCAGCAGGUUAAUACCCCGCUGUUCUGACGGUACCCAAAGAAUAAGCACCGGCUAACUUCGUG
rnacentral:rRNA from 1 species